AUUCCAGCUCCAAUAGCGUAUAUUUAAGUUGUUGCAGUUAAAAAGCUCGUAGUUGGAUUUUGGGUCGGGGGUACCGGUCCGGUGUUUCACUGUGCACUGGUCUCCCCUUCCUUUCUGCCGGGGACGGCGUUUGCUCUUUACUGAGCGGCGUCGGAGUCGGCGUUGUUACUUUGAAAAAAUUAGAGUGUUCAAAGCAAGCCAUCGCUCUGAAUACAUUAGCAUGGAAUAACAUGAUAGGACUCUGGUCUUAUUUUGUUGGUUUCCGAGACUGAGUAAUGAUUAAGAGGGACAGUCGGGGGCAUCCGUAUUUCAUUGUCAGAGGUGAAAUUCUUGGAUUUAUGAAAGACGAGCUUCUGCGAAAGCAUUUGCCAAGGAUGUUUUCAUCG
rnacentral:rRNA from 1 species